rnacentral:rRNA from 1 species
AGUUAAAAAGCUCGUAAUUGGGUUUCGGAGUGGGCCAGUUGGUCCGCCGCAAGGUGUGUUACUGACUGGUUUGCUCUUCUUCGCAAAGACUGCGUGUGCUCUUGAGUGAGUGUGCGAAGGAUUUACGACGUUUACUUUGAAAAAAUUAGAGUGUUCAAAGCAGGCUAUUGCUUGAAUACAUGAGCAUGGAAUAAUGGAAUAGGACUUUGGUCCCAUUUUGUUGGUUUCUAGGGCCGAAGUAAUGAUUAAGAGGGACAAUUGGGGGCAUCCGUAUUUCGUUGUCAGAGGUGAAAUUCUUGGAUUUACGAAAGACGAACAACUGCGAAAGCACUUGCCAAGAGUGUUUUCAUUAAUCAAGAACGAAAGUUAGAGGAUCGAAGACGAUCAGAUACCGUCCUAGUUCUAACCAUAAACGAUGUCGACUAGGGAUCAGCGGGCGUUAUCGUACGACCCCGUUGGCACCUUACGGGAAACCAAAGUUUUUGGAUUCCGGGGGAAGUAUGGUUGCAAAGCUGAAACUUAAAGGAAUUGACGGAAGGGCACCACCAGGAGUGGAGCCUGUGGCUCAAUUUGACUCAACACGGGAAAACUUACCAGGUUCCAGACA